rnacentral:rRNA from 1 species
ACUCCUACGGGAGGCAGCAGUGGGGAAUAUUGCACAAUGGGGAAACCCUGAUGCAGCCAUGCCGCGUGUGUGAAGAAGGCCUCGGUUGUAAAGCACUUCAGUAGGGAGGAAGGUAGUGUAGUUAACACCUGCACUAUUUGACGUUACCUACAGAAGAAGCACCGGCUAACUCCGUGCCAGCAGCCGCGGUAAUACGGAGGGUGCGAGCGUUAAUCGGAAUUACUGGGCGUAAAGCGCAUGCAGGCGGCCUGUUAAGUCAGAUGUGAAAGCCCGGGGGCUUAACCUCGGAAUUGCAUUUGAAACUGGCAGGCUAGAGUCUUGUAGAGGGGGUAGGAAUUUCAGGUGUAGCGGUGAAAUGCGUAGAGAUCUGAAGGAAUACCAGUGCGAAGCGGCCCCCUGGACAAAGACUGACGCUCAGAUGCGAAAGCGUGGGGAGCGAAACAGGAUUAGAUACCCUGGUAGCACA